GAAAAUAACAGGGGAAGAGAGAUUCUGCCAAACUUUAGAUUCAUUCUCUAAAUCAAUGAUGAUGAAGGCCUGGAGCAUGAAUGAAGCUUCUUUAGCACCUCCCCUCUCUUUGAUUUGGUGAAGCCAUAGAAUUAAAUCUAAAUACUCAGGCAUGAGCCAUGUGAGUUGCUAAAAUGUCCAGUCACUAGUAUUUGCUUUCUUUAAUAUUAGAGGGUUGGAGUGUCCAAUUUUGGGAUGAGAUGCUCAGAUCUUUAUAGCUCCUAUUAGAUCCUGGCUCCCAUGGGAGUCAUUAAAGCUGAAGUUAUUAAAUGAAAAAGAGCAGGUGUUCUUACUCGGACAGCCUCAGGCAGCACCUUUUGGUAUAAACACCACAACACACUUCCAAAUAAUAGUCAGGUUGGGUGCUAAUUUGUGUCAAACCAACACUACCACUUUGUGAUUUAAGAAUAUGUUUGUGUAAGGUUUUGAUGAGGAAUGGGUGGUCUUUCACAAGCCAUUUACAGAUCUCCUAGCAUAUGCAUUACAGUGGCACCUUGGUUCUAAACUUAAUCCAUUCCGGAAGUCCGUUCCAAAACCAAAGUGUUCCAAAACCAAGGUGUGCUUUCCCAUAGAAAGUAAUGCAAAAUGGAUUAAUGCGUUCCAGACUUUUAAAUACAACCCCUAAAACAGCAAUACAACAAGAAUUUUACUAUCUAACAAGACUACUGAUCCAUAAAAUGAAAGCAAUAAUCAAUAUAAAAAAAAGAGGUAAAGAGACCCCUGACCAUCAGGUCCAGUCGCGGAUGACUCUCGGGUUGUGGCGCUCAUCUCACUUUACUGGCCAACGGAGCCAGCGUUUGUCCACAGACAGAUUUUCCAGGUCAUGUGGCCAGCAUGACUAAGCCGCUUCUGGCAAACCAGAGCAGCGCACGGAAACACCAUUUACCUUCCCACCAGAGUGGUACCUAUUUAUCUACUUGCACUUUGACGUGCUUUCGAACUGCUAGGUUGGCAGGAGCAGGGACCGAGCAACGGGAGCUCACCCUGUCACGGGGAUUCGAACCACCGACCUUCUGAUCGGCAAGCCCUAGGCUCUGUGGUUUAGACCACAGCUCCACCCGCGUCCCUUAAUAAUCAAUGUACUGUACUAUAAAAUAAAUAAGACAGUAUUGUAGAUGAUAAAAAUUAAAAUUACUUUUUUUUCUUACCUGCACGGAUGAUACUCAUUGUUUGGAUGGGGGGUAUCCAUUUCUGCAGUCACACAAUCAAUCAAUCUAUCAGUAGCUGAACUGGGUUCCACACAGUCACAAAAACAAAUUAACCAAAAAAGCCUCAAAAACAAAAAUACAAAAUAAAUAGCAAAAGCAACAGCACCAAACCUAAUCCAUUCCAGAAGUCCGUUUGACUUCUGAAAUGUUGAAAAACCAAGGCUCAGCUUCUGAUUGGUGCAGGUACCCCAGAAACAAUAGCUGACAACAGCACCAGAUGUUUGACUUCUGAAAAACGUUCAAAAACCAGAACAAUUCAUUCCAGGUUUUCCGCGUUUGAGAACCAAGGCAUUUGAGAACCAAGGUACCACUGUAUUUUGCCCUUGUGAGGUUCACCAACUUUUUAGAUUGGGGGCAAAUUUGCAAACUGGGGAAACCAUCAUGGGCAUCACAAACACUGCAACCACACGUGCAUCACAACUUACUCUAUUGCUUAAAGUUGUGGGUCUGUCAUCACUUCCAUUUGUUCAGUGAUUUCUUACAAUUUACAUCAGAUCAGUAAUACUUGUCCAAAAUUCUUUUCAUUCAUAUCGUGGCUCAAAAAUGUGAAAAAUCGCUUUUUACUGCUGUAUCGGAACAAACAAAAAACUUCUUAAAACUGGUUCUCUACCUCACACUAAUAUUUUCCAAUGCUCUCUCUUUUUGCACUCAUAAAGGCAUUGUGUUCAAGCGCAUAUAUCUGAGCAAAAGCAGUUUCCAUUUCCAGUUCCAAUGUGUGUUGGCUGUGUGAACCCAAUGUAAAAGUUGGUAAUGACUGGGGAAUGUACACCAUUAAAAUUGCCCCCGCUUCCAUGGCUGUUAAGGAGGUUAGGGUCGUGUGCUGCCAGCACAAAUCCUCUACAUUAGGGACUAUGUGGAUAGCAUUCCUUUAAUGUCAGUUAAAGUAAGGCCAAUUUUUCAACUUGCGCUUGUUGGACUCUCUGUUGGGGAUUCUGGAGAAACAACAACAUGAUAUUGUGUGCUUGUGCAAAGAAACACAGACCCUCCAAGUGCCUCUAAUUUCCAGGGAUGUCCCUGAUUUAGAGAAACUGUACAGUGGUACCUCUGGAUGCGAACAGGAUCCAUUCCGGAGCCCCGUUCGCAUCCUGAGUAGACCAUAACAUGCGACUGCGCGACUGCACAUGCACGGGUCGCGUUUCGCUGCUUCCGUGCAUACUCGUGAUGUCAUUUUGAGCGUCUGUGAAUGCGCGAGCGGUGAAACCUGGAAGUAACGCAUUCCGCUACUUCCGGGUCACCGCGGAGCGUAACCUGAAAACGCUCAACCUGAAGCAUGUUUAACCCGAGGUAUGACUGUACUGGCUUCUGAUUUGAUCCUGGAAUGUCCCACUUUCCUUAGGCUGUCCCUAUUUUGAUAGGAGAAAUGUUGGAGGGUAUGAAGUUAUUUCACCCUUGAGCUCUCUGAAGGCAAUCAUUCUUUAGUGGGAGAACUGCACCACAAAAUUCAGAGAAGCAUUUCAAGGGACGCGGGUGGUGCUGUGGGUUAAACCACAGAGCCUAGGACUUGCCGAUCAAAAGGUCGGUGGUUCGAAUCCCCGCGAGGGGGUGAGCUCCCGUUGCUCGGUCCCUGCUCCUGCCAACCUAGCAGUUCGAAAGCACAUCAAAGUGCAAGUAGAUAAACAGAUAAACCUCCAGCGGGAAGGUAAACGGCGUUUCCGUGCGCUGCUCUGGUUUCGCCAGAAGCGGCUUAGUCAUGCUGGCCACAUGACCGGAAGCUGUACACUGGCUCCCUCGGCCAAUAAAGCGAGAUGAGCACCGCAACCCCAGAGCCGGUCACGACUGGACCUAAUGGUCAGGCGUCCCUUUACCUUUACCUUUUAUACAUUUCAAAGAAUGGCUAAGUUUCAAUUUUCAUAUUGUUUUGGAAAGUGUAGAUUUGAUAGAUUCAGUUUUAAAUGCAUACCAAAUCAAUUUUCUCCAAAUGAAGCCCCAGAAAUCUGAAAGACAAGAAACAGAAGCCAUACUGUUGACCUUGUUGCCCAAAUGGUCCUGAAGAAAAUAGCUAUUGUGACCUACCUUUAAAAUUAAUGGUCUGCUUCAAGGAAACUAACCUACUAUGUGGUGCUUAGACUUGUAAUAUUCUUCAAUGAAAGGAGAAAUUAGGGUGGAACAAGCACACCCAAACUUCCAGGAUUAAGAAGGGGCAAGUGAUCACAAACCAAAGCAGGGCUGUGAUUGGAGAACCUUGACUUAUGAGGAAUACAGUAAAUGAUAGUCCUUGUGACCAAAGAUGCCUUCUGGCUUCUUUGAAAACUGUAUAAAAGCUCUCUGCAUUGCUUGACACAUCCAACAGCUUCUAUUGACUCCUCUUGACUUCUCUUCUUCAUCAGCUCUCACCGGUAAGUUGGAUUUAACUCAACUUUCUUUACAGCUUGUAGAUUGUGAGGUGCUUUUUUGUGGCGGUGUUUGUAAAACAAGUUUACUUGCUCUUACACUUCUCAAAAUGACCAUCAUUUUAUGAGGUCCCUCUACCUUCCAUAAAUGAUCAACACCUGCAGCUUCAUGAACCAAUGAAGCACCAGCUCUUGGGUCCAGUUUGUGCUAGGACAAUGUCUCAGCUUUUUCUGUAGAUGUACAGUGGUACCUCGGGUUGCAUACGCUUCAGGUUACAGACUCCGCUAACCCAGAAAUAGUACCACGGGUUAAGAACUUUGCUUUAGGAUGAGAACAGAAAUUGUGCUCCAGCGGUGCAGCGGCAGCAGGAGGCCCCAUUAGCUAAAGUGGUGCUUCAGGUUAAGAACAGUUUCAGGUUAAGAAUGGACCUUCGGAACAAAUUAAGUACUUGACCUGAGGUACCACUGUACUUGCCUGUCUUCCAAGGUGGAGAUCUGGGACUGCAUCCAACUAAGUCCUACUCAACAUAGACCUGUUGAAAUGAAUGGACUUAAGUUCAAUAUGGCCCUUGGUUCCAAGGGGUCAAUUCUGAGUAAGUCUCACAUGCAUUGGCGUAUUCAUUUUUGUUCUUCACAUCUCGUUCCAGGCUAACCUUCAACUUCUCCAACAUGGUGUCCUGUUGUCUCCCAUCUUGUGCCAUUCCCUGUGGACCCAUCUACCCAGUUAGCAGCUGCCAACCCUGCUGUUCUCCAUCCUGCGUCAUUCCUUGUGGACCCAUCUACCCAGUUAGCAGCUGCCAUCAACCCUGCCAUCAACCCUGCUGCUCCUAUCCAUGUGGACCCAUCGCUCCACUGUGUAUUCAACCUUCCUGCCAGUCUUCCUGUUCUCCAUCCUGCGUCAUUCCCUGUGGUCCCAUCUACCCAGUUAGUAGUUGCCAGCCUUCCUGUAUCUCAUCGUGCCUGCCAUCCUGUGUCAUUCCAAGUGGGCCCAUCUAUCCAGCUAGUAGCUGCCAUUCUUCCUGCAUCCCAAUCAGUAUCUGCAAUCCCUGUUGUUCUCCUUGCUAAAGCGUCAAGGGACAACCCCCCGGUACACAAUCCUGUUGGGAAUUGGGAAAAAAUAUGGUACAGAUUCAUGGCUAAGCUUAUGGGUAUAGGGUACAGGUGCCAAAAAUGCUAAGCUUUCACAGUUCUAGCUGAGGUUGGUUCUGUGCCUGCACAGCAUAUUUGAGACUCAGUCCCUGCAUUGAUGUUCUUUCACCCUUUAUUUUCUGGAAAAAUCCGUUUGCUAGCUUUAAAGAUGGCUCUCUUUAACCAGGGAAGUGUGACACAUUGUGGUCGGUUUUCCCUGCCAAAGGAGUUCUGUCUGCAUUCCCAUUGCAAGUAGUAGAUUCAGUUCACCCACUGCCCCCGUCUCUUCAUUGUUUUCUAU
rnacentral:lncRNA from 1 species